rnacentral:rRNA from 1 species
UAGGGAAUCUUCGGCAAUGGACGGAAGUCUGACCGAGCAACGCCGCGUGAGUGAAGAAGGUUUUCGGAUCGUAAAGCUCUGUUGUAAGAGAAGAAUGAGUGUGAGAGUGGAAAGUUCACACUGUGACGGUAUCUUACCAGAAAGGGACGGCUAACUACGUGCCAGCAGCCGCGGUAAUACGUAGGUCCCAAGCGUUGUCUGGAUUUAUUGGGCGUAAAGCGAGCGCAGGCGGUUAGAUAAGUCUGAAGUUAAAGGCUGUGGCUUAACCAUAGUACGCUUUGGAAACUGUUUAACUUGAGUGCAAGAGGGGAGAGUGGAAUUCCAUGUGUAGCGGUGAAAUGCGUAGAUAUAUGGAGGAACACCGGUGGCGAAAGCGGCUCUCUGGCUUGUAACUGACGCUGAGGCUCGAAAGCGUGGGGAGCAAACAGGAUUAGAUACCCUGGUAGUCCACGCCGUAAACGAUGAGUGCUAGGUGUUAGACCCUUUCCGGGGUUUAGUGCCGCAGCUAACGCAUUAAGCACUCCGCCUGGGGAGUACGACCGCAAGGUUG